rnacentral:misc_RNA from 1 species
UCCGGCUUAUCACCGGCAGUCUCCCUAGAGUCCCCACCAUUACGUGCUGGCAACUAAGGACAGGGGUUGCGCUCGUUGCGGCACUUAAGCCAACACCUCACGGCACGAGCUGACGACAGCCAUGCAGCACCUGUGCUGGCCCCUUACGGACACGGGCUUUCACCCGCUUUAACCGGCAUGUCAAGCCUAGGUAAGGUUCUUCGCGUUGCAUCGAAUUAAGCCACAUGCUUCGCCGCUUGUGCGGGUCCCCGUCAAUUCCUUUGAGUUUUAGCCUUGCGGCCGUACUCCCCAGGCGGAGUGCUUAAUGCGUUAGCUGCGGCACGGAACCCGUGGAAUGGAUCCCACACCUAGCGCCCAACGUUUACGGUGUGGACUAC